CCUACGGGGGGCUGCAGUGGGGAAUAUUGCACAAUGGGCGCAAGCCUGAUGCAGCCAUGCCGCGUGUGUGAAGAAGGCCUUCGGGUUGUAAAGCACUUUCAGCGGGGAGGAAGGCGGUGAGGUUAAUAACCUCAUCGAUUGACGUUACCCGCAGAAGGAGCACCGGCUAACUCCGUGCCAGCAGCCGCGGUAAUACGGAGGGUGCAAGCGUUAAUCGGAAUUACUGGGCGUAAAGCGCACGCAGGCGGUCUGUCAAGUCGGAUGUGAAAUCCCCGGGCUCAACCUGGGAACUGCAUUCGAAACUGGCAGGCUAGAGUCUUGUAGAGGGGGGUAGAAUUCCAGGUGUAGCGGUGAAGUGCGUAGAGAUCUGGAGGAAUACCGGUGGCGAAGGCGGCCCCCUGGACAAGGACUGACGCUCAGGUGCGAAAGCGUGGGGAGCAAACAGGAUUAGAUACCCGUGUAGUC
rnacentral:rRNA from 1 species